UAGAGUCUUCCCAAAAAGGAGUGUCAGAGAAUGUGUGCUGAUCAAUAUACCACUGCAUGUAUACAUCGCUGUUUACCAUUCCGUUCAUCAGUCAAUAUACCCUUAGGCUACCUGGAGGGUGGCUGAAAACCGUGGAAGCUGGGGGAGUCCUCUGCCACGACCGAGUGGGAGACACAGCCCCACACUGAGUCAGACAUUACCCAGCAAAGUGAGGGCAUAGGAAACCUGCAGCUUCAGCCCUGCUCAGUCUCAUGGGAGCACCAAACAAGUAACUUUUUAGAGACAACAGCAAGGUCAAGGAAUUGUGAAACAUCAAGAUGAAUAAGACCUGGUCCCUGCAUCAUUCUUUGGAGAAGAUCAGCUGCCAACCAGGAACAACACCACCUUGGAUUGUUUGGUGAGGCAGAAAUUGUUAUAUCCCAUAUUGUUUACCCAAAGACAGAGCAAAGAUUUCUUCUAACUAAAAUGAGGGCAACCAGUGCUUACAGGCAAAAAAGCUGUAAAGAAAUCCUGCAAAUUAAUAAGAAAAAGACAAGUGGUCCAAUUAAAAAAUGGUCAAAAGACUUGAACAGACAUUUCACCAAAGAAGAUAUGCAAAUGG